rnacentral:sRNA from 2 species
GCAAUAUGAACGCUGAAUUCCCGCAGUGCGGGAAACGGGGGAACCAUCAGGCCCGCAGGGCCUUUCCUGGAAGAUAAGAAUCUUUCUUGGGGUGAAUCCGAAGGAGACUGUGGUCUCAUUAGGUAGGGCGACUCUCACCGUCCGAAUCCGACAGCUAACCCCGUAAGCGACUAGAGAGAACCU